UGGCUCAGAGGUUAAAGCAUCUGCCUGGAAUGCAGGAGACCCGGGUUCGAUCCCUAG
rnacentral:tRNA from 1 species